rnacentral:tRNA from 1 species
CAGUUGGUAGAGCGUUAGACUUUUAAUCUAACGGUCAGGGGUUCGAGUCCCCUACGGGGCU